UUUAAAUGUUUUUUCGCCUAAGGAUGGGUCUGCGGCCGAUUAGGUAGUUGGUUAGGUAAUGGCUUACCAAGCCGUUGAUCGGUACGGGUUGUGAGAGCAAGAGCCCGGAGAUGGAACCUGAGACAAGGUUCCAGGCCCUACGGGGUGCAGCAGGCGCGAAACCUCCGCAAUGUGAGAAAUCGCGACGGGGGGAUCCCAAGUGCCAUUCUUAACGGGAUGGCUUUUCAUUAGUGUAAAGAGCUUUUGGAAUAAGGGCUGGGCAAGACCGGUGCCAGCCGCCGCGGUAACACCGGCAGCUCUAGUGGUAGCAGUUUUUAUUGGGCCUAAAGCGUCCGUAGCCGGUUUAAUAAGUCUCUGGUGAAAUCCUGUAGCUUAACUGUGGGAAUUGCUGGAGAUACUAUUAGACUUGAGACCGGGAGAGGUUAGAGGUACUCCCAGGGUAGAGGUGAAAUUCUGUAAUCCUGGGAGGACCGCCUGUUGCGAAGGCGUCUAACUGGAACGGUUCUGACGGUGAGGGACGAAAGUUAGGGGCGCGAACCGGAUUAGAUACCCGGGUAGUCCUAACCGUAAACGAUGCGGACUUGGUGUUGGGGUGGCUUUGAGCUGCUCCAGUGCCGAAGGGAAGCUGUUAAGUCCGCCGCCUGGGAAGUACGGUCGCAAGACUGAAACUUAA
rnacentral:rRNA from 1 species